GAUCCUGGCUCAGGAUGAACGCUAGCUACAGGCUUAACACAUGCAAGUCGAGGGGCAGCAUGAUUGAAGCUUGCUUCAAUUGAUGGCGACCGGCGCACGGGUGAGUAACACGUAUCCAACCUGCCGAUAACUCGGGGAUAGCCUUUCGAAAGAAAGAUUAAUACCCGAUAGUAUAGUAUUUCCGCAUGGUUUCACUAUUAAAGAAUUUCGGCUAUCGAUGGGGAUGCGUUCCAUUAGA
rnacentral:rRNA from 1 species